UACGUAGGGUCCGAGCGUUGUCCGGAAUUACUGGGCGUAAAGAGCUCGUAGGUGGUUUGUCGCGUUGUUCGUGAAAACUCACAGCUCAACUGUGGGCGUGCGGGCGAUACGGGGCAGACUGGAGUACUGCAGGGGAGACUGGAAUUCCUGGUGUAGCGGUGAAAAUGCGCAGAUAUCAGGAGGGAACACCGGUGGCGAAGGCGGGUCUCUGGGCCGAUGACUGAC
rnacentral:rRNA from 1 species